GGAUGAACGCUGGCGGCGUGCUUAACACAUGCAAGUCGAACGAAGCACUUGAGAUUGAAUCUUCGGAUGAGAACUCUUGUGACUGAGUGGCGGACGGGUGAGUAACGCGUGGGUAACCUACCUCAUACAGGGGGAUAACAGUUGGAAACGACCGCUAAUACCGCAUAACCCGCUAGUAUCGCAUGAUACGGACGGAAAAGAUUUAUCGGUAUGAGAUGGACCCGCGUCUGAUUAGCCAGUUGGCAGGGUAACGGCCUACCAAAGCAACGAUCAGUAGCCGGCCUGAGAGGGUGAACGGCCACAUUGGGACUGAGACACGGCCCAAACUCCUACGGGAGGCAGCAGUGGGGAAUAUUGCACAAUGGGGGAAACCCUGAUGCAGCGACGCCGCGUGAGUGAGGAAGUAUUUCGGUAUGUAAAGCUCUAUCAGCAGGGAAGAAAAUGACGGUACCUGACUAAGAAGCCCCGGCUAACUACGUGCCAGCAGCCGCGGUAAUACGUAGGGGGCAAGCGUUAUCCG
rnacentral:rRNA from 1 species